rnacentral:antisense_RNA from 1 species
UGGCAUCCAGUCCACUUAACCAUCAGUGUUUAAGGAAACCAUCUCUGAUAAGGAUGACUGAGGAAGAGUACUCUUUGGCUUGUUGACACCAGCACAGCUGACACACCCAGAUAUCUGUUUGGUCUCCUGUGAACUUUCAACCAGGAUUUAAGGAUGCCACUCUGGUUAAAAGCUGAAACAACUUCAAGGAAACUUCAGGGAAAAGAGAAGGCCUGGAAUCUGAUCCUCCACUUCAGAGAACAGGGAGAAAAAAGUACAUGUGAAAUACUACUACUUAUCCAUCUCCUGGCUCUGAGCAGUACAUGUCAGGUACAAGAGGGAAUUGUAGCUGGAAGACAGUAGAAGAGCCAUAGGAUAAGUCUCUAAGAGAAGGAAGAAAAGGCGCUAUGAAAGAAAACAAGUUUAAGAUAGUAGAAAAGCAUUCAAAGACUGCAACCUGAGGUGGUGGAGUCUAUGGCCCUUCUCCUUGAAUCUGAGUGAAAUUAGUGAGUCUUUCAAUCCAAAGACUACAGUCGUACCUCAACUAUCUACAGAGGACUGGUUCCAGGACUCCCAUGGAUCCCAAAAUCCAAGGAUGCUUCGAAUCCCUUAUAUAAAAUGGCAUGGUAUUUGCAUAUAACCUACAUGCAUCUUCAAAUAUGUUAAACCAUCUCUAGAUUACUUAUAAUACCAAAUACAAUGUAAUGCUAUGUAAACAGUUGUUACAAUGUAUUGUCAAAGACAAGCUCUCCUUGCCAAUCCCUGACCAAAUGAGAGAUUCAUGAGCAAAAUAAAUAGUUGCUGAUAUUUAAGGCACUAAGUUUGGGGCAAUGUAUUACACAGCAAUAAAUAACUGGAACAGCAUAGUAAAUUCUAGUUAAAAAUACUAAACUACUAAGUUUUAGUUAACAUACAUGCUGAAGUUAAGGGUGUGGUAUACUAACAACUGCAACUUACUUUGAAAAGCAUAAAAAAAGACACUAGAAGAAGACAGGAUGGAUAGAUGGACAAGAUAGAAGACAAAAAUAGAACAAAAUGUUGUGAAAUUAUAUUCUACAAUUAUUUUAAAGUCUGUGUGGUUUGAAAAAUUGUACGAUAAAAUGAAGAGUGAAAUAAAGACAUUUCCAUACAAA